rnacentral:piRNA from 1 species
AUUUUCCUGAGAAUGAAAGAAAUAGCA